rnacentral:tRNA from 6 species
AAUUCUAACUAAACUAUUCCCUG